GUGAGGCUGCACAGAAAUGCUUUUAUUUAAAUUGCCACAAUCAGAGUGCUUUUGUUUGUUUUCUUGACUUGAAGUGUUACUUCCAUUUUCACUUUUCUGCUGGAGUGAGAAAAUGAUGGGUGUGAAGACUGUAACAUGUGACAUUUUGGUGAUGUGGUGACAUCUGCCUGGUGAUAAGAAAUUGCAAGUUCUCCCCUGAAUGCAUUACUCUGUGGUGCAGGAAGGCUGAAAAAGCUGAGACUGAAGAGGAAUUGCAGUAAUUGCUCAACCAGAAGGAAUAUUGCAGUGCAGUAUUGGAAUGAUCAUUGUAAAAGGGCAUGAUUUCACCUCUGCUACUUGGACAAAGGAACACAGAGACUGAGUGAAACUUUUUCUAGACCAAUUCACUGAGCUUCAAUUUUUAUAUUGAAUUUUAUAUUGAACUUUUCCAAGCUACUUGUGAGAUUUUCCCAACAGAAUUUAGUCGUGUAUUUCCUAUUAAAUUACAAAUUAAGCCCCCAAAGUCAUUGUAUGACUUUCAAAAUCACAGCCUUGGUGCAGUAACACCAAUAAUGAUUUCAGUCAAUUGGGUACAUCAGUUCCCCAUACAGCAUGUAUUUUACUUACCUGUAAAAGACAAAUCUGGUUUAUUUUCCUCUGUGGACAGAUUUGCCUCACAAGAUAUGUUAUGACACAUUGGAAAAGUCUGAAUAUUGAAAGAAGGAAGGAAGUAUGUAGGUUGUUGGGUUUGGGUCUUGAGCAUGGUUACCUUAUAAGCAAUUCAGAUGCCUAAAUUAAGAAGUAAUUGCUGCUAAGAUGACAAAAUGUUUUCAACACCUGUUUAUAGGAUUUUAUUCCCUGAAUUUUUACAUAUAAUGUUUUCAAAUGGCCCAUUAUGCAUGUGUACAGUAAUCUUUUCCUUAUAUGUAUGGGUCUUAUUUGGUCUUACUGGGAUUACUUACUAGUGUCACGGAACAAAAUCCCCAGUACUCCUGGCACUGCAUGCCUGGCCCCAUCUCUGCAAAGAUCAACUGGACUUUGAUACAUCUCUGGCACAUACAUAGGCAAUACUCAAAACAGGAUAAUCUGUAUUGCAUUUAUCUUGGUGGAUCGGCGCUGAUAAAAUUAAAGCCAAAGUUAAUUUUUAAGAGGAACUUUUAUGAAUCGAAUGUGCUGAAUUGGUGCACAAAAAGAGGAAAGAAGGGUAAGUCAAAAGCCUGUAAAAAAGAGAAUGAGAAGAAAAAAAUCAAAAAUCAGUUCCGUGAUGUUAAAUAAGCACCAAUUAUUAAACACCGUAAUAAUAAAAAGUUUGUUCAUGCAAAAGAUAAAGCUGUACAGGAACACAUAAUAAAAAAAUAAAGCAUUUUUCCUCACGCUGUUUUGCUACACAGUGAAAAAUCACUCUUAUACUAUGAAAUUUCAACACUAGAAGAGACUGAGUAAGAGGGGUCAAAGAAAGGAGACCUUUAAUGAAUUCCAGCAUGUUACAUCUGUGUUUUAUGCAUGGGAGUUAUUCUGCUACAACACCUUCCAUUUUCUUCGACCACUAAGGACUGAACUGAUGAAGCAAAGCUCUCCAUUAAAAAUGCUCUAAUAAAUUAUACUGUAGAUGUGAAAAGAACAAAGACGAGGAGAUGAAAAGCUUUCAUAAAUUGAAGACAUAUGGUUAGGAAUGCCUAGGGACCUUGUGUGCUUUUUUGUUAAGUAUAUUCUUCAAUGGAUUUCCAAUUUUUUGUUUGUUUGUUUUUCAAUUAUAAC